CCCAGGGGAAGGGCAGCGUGAUGAGCUGGGGGAGGUGAGAAGGGGAGCACCAGGGCCCUGCUUCUUCUGGGUGGGAGCUGGCAAUGGCCAGGGCUCCUGUCCCAGGCAGGGGGAUGCAGAGCGAGCCUCCCCGCUUGGCAGCACAAAAAGCAGGGCUGAGCACUCGCUCGUGGCAGAGGCUGACUGGGGCUGCAAGCAAAUAAGGGCUGGUGAGGUAAUGCAUGGGAGAUGUGAACUUCAGCAGGGCAGUGCCAUAAAGCCUGCGGUAGUGCAGCUGUCUGAAGAACUCAGGUAACACCAGCAGCGUUCCCAGCCCAGAGCACUCCACCACCUAUGGGACCCCAGCCCGUGCACUGCGUGGGGCCACCACGUGCUGGCAUCCUGAAUUUAUACCUGCCCACGAGACGCUUUCUAUGAAGCAUUUUCCAGCGUGGUCUAAUUACAAGGCGAUGCUUCAGCCCACGCAGGGCACCUCCAGCUGCCACAUUUCAGCAUGGGAUAAAACAACGUGCACAGUUUGGACCUGUGCGUGUCCUCCAACACAUUUCUGAAGGGGCAGCAGGGCCAGCAGGGUGAUGGUCUGCCUGGUUCCAGCACCGCUCCUGCCUGCGGCUCCCUGGGACGCCUGGUCCCAGGCUGGGAUCUGGUUGUGCAAGGACAUUAUUAUGCCAAGCACUGAAUAAACACAGAACAAAAAGUUGGCUCCUCUGACUGUAAAUAAUAAAUGAUCCUCUUUGAUCACCCGUGUUGGCUGAGGGCUCCCCAGCCUCUCCCAAAGCUGGGACUUGGAACGAGUGGCGCUGAGCGAAAGGUUGCCCUUUUCCUACAGGCACCCAAAAUGCUGGAGCUGAGCAGGGGCUGCAGCUCAGGACUGGCCGGGCCACCAACACCUCGAAGCCUCCGAAGCGUGGUGUUUUGCUGUAAGGCUGGUCCUUCAAUUUUGGCUCUUCCUUCUCUGCCAAGCCCAGUGCAAAGUCGCUGCCUCCUUGCUCAGCCCUGCCCCUCUACACCUCACCGCAGCUCCCGCUCGUGAGAUAAAUCCCUUUAAUGUGGCGGUUGUUUGUUUUUGAAAUUCUUCUGUAUUUUUUCCUGCCAUCCCGCUGCAGAGCAGCGUGCACAACAAAGUAAACCAACCUUGCACAAAUUGUCCUGAUUCCUGCCUUGCGAGUGGAGACAGCUGUGACUGAUUCCAGCAAAAUACCUCGCGUCUGGUCUACAAAGCCCGAGCUAAUCUCCACGCCGAACCAAAGCGGGUCCUUCCUCAUCACAUGCUCGUGCUGCCAGAGCAGGGAACGUGGAUAAUACUUUGGAGCCACUACAAAUGCUUCGGAAAAGACUCUGCCAUGGUAGCAAACAGCUGGUGCAGCUAAUCCAUUUUCCAAGCACAUUUGCAAGAUACAUAAUUAAGAGUUCUAUUGAGGGGGGAAGCAAAGCAGACCAUUAGAUUUGUUUAUAACAUUACGGAUAGUGUAAUACCCACUCAGGACCUCCUUUUCAGCAAAAGACAUUAAGGUGAUCCUUAGGAAACGUCUCUGGGAUUUCCUGAUGAUGCCUGCGUGACAUUAAUUUUGAGUAAAUAUUUGCAAUUCCAUUUGCCAUAUAAUUAAGCACAAUGAAGGGAUCCUGCGGAUUUUUUGGACUUGUUAAUUGCUAGAUCAGUUCAGAUGAUGAUCCCUUUGAGUUCUCUCGUCCGAUUUCCAUUGUCUCCCUUUAAAAUUGCUGUUGUGUUACAAUGAGGGAAAGCCAAGGUGUGCACGCUCAGCCCCGCAGAGCUUUUCCAGCGUACACCGCCGGAAGAUCUGCCCUAAAGCUGUCCAACGUCACAACGAGAGCAGUACGGCUCGGGGCUCGAAGCCAAAGGCUGCUGUCAGCCGUGCUGGUGCAUGUUCAGAAUGGAUCAUUGGGCUGAGCGAGGGAGGCUCCCGGUGUCCCCAGUGUCCCCAGCUACGACUGUGCCAGCCAGCGGCUGUGCAGCCCAGCCUGCCUGGUGGCGCCCCAAGAAACCAGAAGCAAAGACACAAAUCGGGAUGGCUUGAGGAAGGAGAGGAUGAGCCAGUUCCUUCAGCCCCAGGCAGCCAUCGGGGGUGUCAGGGGCAGCGAUGAGCGCGCUGACGAGCUGUGCGUGUGUUGCACGCCCAUCAACUCCUUGCCUAGUGAGCAGCGUGGCACUGCUGCGCGUGGCAGAGCCUUUGCAGAGCUCCUCUCUCCACAAACUCUUGCUUCCAAAGCAAACAACUAACUAGUGACCUGGCUGAAAGCAGCCCAGCCUUGGCCCGUGCCCAAAACAGUUUUUGUUUAAACAUAACUGUGUUUAGGGCAUCUGCUUCAACACAGCACCGCCGGCUGGGGCUGGAAAGGGAGGCUGCACAAGGGUAGAGCAUGCCUGCUAUAAAAUGCCCAUUUCUGCUUAAAAAAAACCUCACCAUGGUCUUUAAUUUGUCUCUAAGACCCAUCUAGGAUGAAAACAAGGAGGUCUGCUGGGGCUCCUCCCAUGGCAGGUGGGAAGAAUAAUUUGCCUGGGGGGAAAUUGGAGAUGCCCAGGGAUCUGCCCAGAGGUUUGCAGCAGACCACGGAGGCAAGGCUGCAGAGAUGCACCCAAGGCUCCAUCCUGGGGCUUUUGCUGACCAGAGGAGGGUAAGAAAACCCCACUGGAGACCUGGAGCCUGGUCUUGAGGUGCAGGGUUGUGCUCUGUCUGGCUCCUGGCCACUGUGAGCCCUUGCUCCAUGCCUGCUCUGUCUCUCACUGUGCUUUCGUGUGGAUUCCACAAUUUAGUGGCUCUGUGGAUAUGGAAAGGGACUUCAUGCUGUGUUUCCAUCCUGUCGGGAGUUCAGAGCCUGCCCUGCACACAUUUAGGAAGCUAAGGACUUUCCUAAUUGCACUGUGAACAAACUGAGGUGGGCUCUUGUCUGUCUGCCUGUCAGGGAGGACAAGUUAGCAGUGCCUGAGGCUAAGUGCAGCCUGGAUGGCGGUGCCGGAGUUCAUCAGGCUGCCUUGCCUGCCAGGCUCUGUCUUUCACAGCGCUGGGCAGUGGCACCGUGAGCGCCCCGCGCCUCUGCUCCCACGGCACCGUGUUCAGGAGGAACGUACGCCGGGUGGUGUGAGCUAAGCCAUCAGGAACUAACUGGGGCCUUUUCAGGCUCUGGAGACGUACCACAUUUAGCCGAAAGAGGUUAAAAGGCAAUUGUGCUGUGUAAAGAGACCAUGAAAUAAAAGCGCCUGCUUUGCUGGCCUGGGCUGCGAGCACAAAAUGAGUUCUCUUUUCUCACUGCCAGUGCCGUAAGCUUUCCAGGGGAUGCUGGACAUUGCCGUGGGUUAUCACUGGGAUAAGGCCCUGCACCUGGAACGUGGUGCCCUGAUGGGGGCAGCCCCCCCCUGCACCCCAGCGCUGCUGCCCUGCUCCACUGGGCGACUCCGAGCGACUGAGGUGUUGGUGACACCAAAUGCCCUAGCCUUCAGUUCUGCUGCUCCCUUUCGGAUAUUUUUCUUCCAAAGGCUCCCUCAGUGGUGCAGAAGGACCUGCUGCAUGCUGCAGAGGUUGGUUUCCAUGCUCCAUUACCUCCUGGCCUCUCUUCUGAGACUGCCGAAGCUGCAGAUGGAGGCGAUGCAUUGCACGUGGGGGAGCCAGAGCUGCGCACCCGCUGCGGGGCCGGGCUCAGCCCAGCACCUGCAUGGAGAGGGACAUGAAGAGAAGAACCGUCCUGCUGCCCGGACGGCUCCGAGCCCACAGCCGGAGGGAGGUUUUGUCCCCUCCUCACAGCAGGGACAGAGCCUGAGAUGUUCACCUGAGGGCUGAAAGCAAGCCGCUGGUUCCUCCCAGAUGUGCACGCACUUGCGGUCGUGCACCCCUUUGUGCAGUGCCUAAUAAGCCGUAUAAUUCUCAUUCUUCCACUCCCACUGUCACUUACUUCACUUCUUAUCUGCACAACUGAAAUUCCUUCCUGCUCCCCCCAUCCCCUUCUUUCACUAAUGCUCUUCACUUUCAAAUGCUAAUAAUCUGCAGCACUAAAAGGCUUAGAAGUGGUUCUAGAUUGUUUGAUCUUUGGCCUGUGAUCUACUUUCAUCUUUCAGCUUUCAAACGUUACUUUGGAUUUACUUUAACCUGUUAACAUGCUUGGUAUUCAGAGGCAUGCACUUCUGCUGAGUUUUGCAUCAGAUCCACCCGGGUUCUAAUGAGCGAGGGGAAGGUCACACUUUGCACACCAACUUUUCCGAGUGGACAUCUGCUCAUCUGUUGUAGCACACACAGCAGGGGCUUUUUUCCCUUCUCAGGCUUCAGUGUUCCCCAGGGGUGCUGACCCAAGGACGGGGAUGUAAGGUUACCUGCGGCAAGGGCCAAGCUGGGGAUGGCGACAGGCUCAGACCCUGCAGGCACCAGCCUGGACCCCGAGGCAGGGAUGUGGCGGGGGGAAUCAUGCUCCUCCUUCCCCUUUAUAAUCGCACCUCUAGAGAGAAGGGCUUUGAAAGCUCUGCUUUGUUCAGAAGCUCCUCGGGACUGUCUCGUCCUCGGUUAGCGUUGGAUGUCUGAGCAGCGGCAGAGACAUCAGAGCCUUCCCGAAGCUGUUAUAACUUAAUCUGGCAGGCCAGCCAGCUCUGCCACCUCUUGCCAAGAGAGGAAGCCAGAGCACUAGAUGAUUUUCAGACAUUAGUGACUGCAAUAAAUCAGUGAGCAGAAGUUAUUGAGUGCUUCGCUAAUGGACAUUUCCUUCUAGAGCAUCCCCUCUUGGGCUUCAUGGGGGCACCGAGACUGCUUUCACAGGGGGAAGCCAAAGGGAGCCUUGCCAAGGCUCUCUGCUGGAAAAUGUGCUGAGGAAGGAGGCUGCAAGGUGAGCGGGAGGCACCAUCUCCAGCUGGUUCGCAGUGCAGGGGCUCCUGCUGUUCUCCUGGUGGGGGGCAGACCUCCACCGCGCCGGUGCAGGAAGCCGUGUUCUGGGAACGGAGCAAAAUGUAAGCAGCCAAGGGGAGGUCAUCAGUUCAGGUCAAUUUGAAAAUGGCUUUAAAUGCAGAAGGGAGACGUGAGCCAAUCUAAAAGUUGGGUGGCAUUUAAAUGGCGCUGAAGAAAGCAAUGCAUUUGAGCCGAAGUGGUGCGUUCAGCCUCAGAGCCAAGCUGCCUGGUGCCCCAGGAGCGCUCAGCACCGAGGGACGGGGGUCCCUGAGCCGCUCGCCCCUCGCCUCUGCUGCAGGAGCCCAAGCCGAAGCAAUUCGCUCCUCAAGGAGAAGCAAACUGUUUAAUAUUUAAACCCAAACAGCCCAGGCAAAGCUGCUUUUCUUUUUUAUUUAUUCUUUUAAUUAAAUGCCAAUUAGAAAGGAAGAGAGAGAAAAAAAGGCAUUAAACACUUAAAUACACACUACACCCAGGUUGCUCAAAGUUGU